GGGCCAGGAUCAUGCUCAGGGCCACCCAAGCGCCUGACCAGGCAGCCUUGGGCUCAGCCCCUGCUGGGGCUGUGAAGGCUGCAUCCACACUCCUGUCCCGCCAGGACUCUCAUCCAGGCCCUCUGAAGAGCAGCAAGGCCCAGACAUUGACCUAAAGCUGCCCCCUUGUCCUCCUGAAGCAAGUCUCCAGCCUGAGAUAGGGAACUCCCACCACCCCUGUCCCGACCCCAGAGCCAAGGGAGGGCAGGGCUCCAGCUCCAGCUGAUGCCCACUUGGGUCUGGCCGGACAGGCCCUGAAUGUCUUACAGCAUAUAAAGAGCUUCUUCCCUGGGUGCUGCUGGACCAGCCGCAGGACAGCCUGGAGGAGGAAGCCCCAGGGGCCAGCCUGUGGCCCACCACCGUUACCCUCCUCACCCUCUUCCUGCUCAGCCUGUUCUACAGCACGGCGCUCACGGUGACAAGUGUGCGAGGCCCCCUGGGCAGCAAGGACCCCCAGUACUGAGCAGGAGCAGCAGGGAAGAAGGCCGGAGGAGCCCUCUCCAUGUAAGAGCUGAGCCCCACAAGUCACCCCACAUAAACACACUCCUUCCUGUGCAAUAAAUCCAUGCCCAACACAAA